rnacentral:rRNA from 1 species
UACGGAGGAUGCGAGCGUUAUCCGGAUUUAUUGGGUUUAAAGGGUGCGUAGGCGGCCUUUUAAGUCAGCGGUGAAAGUUUGUGGCUCAACCAUAAAAUUGCCGUUGAAACUGGAAGACUUGAGUGUGUUUGAGGUAGGCGGAAUGCGUGGUGUAGCGGUGAAAUGCAUAGAUAUCACGCAGAACUCCGAUUGCGAAGGCAGCAUACCGGCGCGCAACUGACGCUCAUGCACGAAAGCGUGGGUAUCGAACAGG